rfam:Ichthyophthirius multifiliis unplaced genomic scaffold scaff_1120509250239, whole genome shotgun sequence.
GCCGGCAUAGCAUAGUGGUUAUUGUAUCUGCCUCGUAAGCAGAAGGUCACCGGUUCAAACCCGGUUGUCGGCU